CAGUGUUUACUUCUCGUCAUCACCAAGGUAUCUUCUCUGUUUCAUUGGGUCCACCCUUGCCUUAUUAUCUUGCUGAAAAGCUACUUGUUCAAUCCAAGAAUUAAUCUUUCAAGGGGAACAAUGGCCAUGGGAAGUUUUUUUGCAGCUGCGCCUGCCGUUGCUGCUGCUGUUGGAUUUUAUUUCAUAGACAGAAACUUUGUCAAGGAAAUCAAACAAGGGUCAUCUGUAUCCAAUCUAAAAAUGCUAGCAGAAGUGAAAGAACGAGCGAAGACCCUUCAAAAGCCAAAAUUGGCGCCACAGCUUGAUGGUUUACAUUGUUUCGAAACCUUGGUGAUGAAUUGAAUUUGCUGGGGCAGUAUGUACCUUGUGCUGAACGAAUAGUAGAUUAUACAUAUUUGUUAUUAUGUCAUAUUUCCUUCCUAUAACCUCGCAUUGUUGUUUUUCGUUUUACUUCAAAUCAUAUCAAUUUCUUUUUUAUCA